UACAGAGGUCUCAAGCGUUGUUCGGAUUCAUUGGGCGUAAAGGGUGCGUAGGCGGCGCGGUAAGUCGGGUGUGAAAUCUCGGAGCUUAACUCCGAAACUGCAUUCGAUACUGCCGUGCUUGAGGACUGGAGAGGAGACUGGAAUUUACGGUGUAGCGGUGAAAUGCGUAGAUAUCGUAAGGAAGACCGGUGGCGAAGGCGGGUCUCUGGGCCGAAAUUGACGCUGAGGAGCGAAAGCGUGGGGAGCAAACAGG
rnacentral:rRNA from 1 species